CGAAUUAUUCGCACCAUUCUCCGAAUGGUGGGUUAGCGCGCGUCCAGAACCAGUUUUCCGCAAACACCCGCCCUGCAGGCGGGUGUU
rnacentral:sRNA from 1 species